rnacentral:rRNA from 1 species
GACGAACGCUGGCGGCGUGCUUAACACAUGCAAGUCGAACGGAAAGGCCCUGCUUUUGUGGGGUGCUCGAGUGGCGAACGGGUGAGUAACACGUGAGUAACCUGCCCUUGACUUUGGGAUAACUUCAGGAAACUGGGGCUAAUACCGGAUAGGAGCUCCUGCUGCAGGGUGGGGGUUGGAAAGUUUCGGCGGUUGGGGAUGGACUCGCGGCUUACCAGCUUGUUGGUGGGGUAGUGGCUUACCAAGGCUUUGACGGGUAGCCGGCCUGAGAGGGUGACCGGCCACAUUGGGACUGAGAUACGGCCCAGACCCCUACGGGAGGCAGCAGUGGGGAAUAUUGCACAAUGGGCGGAAGCCUGAUGCAGCAACGCCGCGUGCGGGAUGACGGCCUUCGGGUUGUAAACCGCUUUCGCCUGUGACGAAGCGUGAGUGACGGUAAUGGGUAAAGAAGCACCGGCUAACUACGUG